AAUGUUUUUUUUUAUUUUCUUAUACCUUUAUUUUAUAAAGCGCUUCAUUUUCCCAGCACGCAUUUCGGUUUCCACAUGGUAUUUCCAGCGUGCCAAACUCAUUAAUGCUGCCUUCGUAGGGCACUUGAAAUGAGAACACGAAUGAAAGCAACGCUGAAGCAUCAUUCCAGACAGAAUUCAACAUACGUGUCUUAAUAAGAGAGUUCCGAGUGACCGUUAUUUUGAACGCUUCACCUUGGAACCCUCAGAAUUCUGCUUCGAAGGGAAUACGACACGUGGACGAUCACUAGCGAAUAGUACGCAGCCCUAGUCACGUGGGUCGUGACGCUCCGGCGCUAUAAAAGCGGAUGCUCUCUUCUUCUCGCUCUCUUUUUCUCUGCAGCGCGUGUCUGGUCGUGCUACUUCAGACACAGUAGACAGAGCCGCUCAAUUAAAGUAUGCUCGUAAUGAAUUACACGCCAGGAUCGCAUCGCAGCGCUUUCAGACCACCAUGAUAACUGAAGGAUUCAACGCGACGUGGUCCCGAUUAUCUACUGACUGACUGAUUGUGUGAUAAUUACGCUCAGUUCAUGGAAAUGGUGAACGAAUGGAUCGAAACGUGGAUUCAGAUCUGAUCAGAAGGAGCUGAAAGCACCUUGAGUGUCCUGAUUCACUUGGAUAUGGAGCUAUACGCUCCAUGGUGACCGAACGCUGGAGAUUGAUGUCAGACCAUGAAGUGUCUCUAAAAACUUUUAUCAAAUAAAGCGUAUAUCAAAACUGUC